CCUACGGGGUGCAGCAGUCGAGAAUCAUUCACAAUGGGGGAAACCCUGAUGGUGCGACGCCGCGUGGGGGAAUGAAGGUCUUCGGAUUGUAAACCCCUGUCAUGUGGGAGCGAAUUAAAAAGAUAGUACCACAAGAGGAAGAGACGGCUAACUCUGUGCCAGCAGCCGCGGUAAUACAGAGGUCUCAAGCGUUGUUCGGAAUCACUGGGCGUAAAGCGUGCGUAGGCUGUUUCGUAAGUCGUGUGUGAAAGGCGCGGGCUCAACCCGCGGACGGCACAUGAUACUGCGAGACUAGAGUAAGGGAGGGGGAACCGGAAUUCUCGGUGUAGCAGUGAAAUGCGUAGAUAUCGAGAGGAACACUCGUGGCGAAGGCGGGUUCCUGGACAUUAACUGACGCUGAGGCACGAAGGCCAGGGGAGCGAAAGGGAUUAGAUACCCGUGUAGUC
rnacentral:rRNA from 1 species